rnacentral:rRNA from 1 species
CACGUAGGGCGCAAGCGUUGUCCGGAAUUAUUGGGCGUAAAGAGCUCGUAGGUGGUUUGUUACGUCUGCUGUGAAAACCUAGGGCUUAACCCUGGGCUUGCAGUGGAUACGGGCAGACUAGAGGUAGGUAGGGGAGAAUGGAAUUCUCGGUGUAGCGGUGAAAUGCGUAGAUAUCGAGAGGAACACCUGCGGCGAAGGCGGGUUGCUGGGCUGAUACUGACGCUGGAGGCGCGAA